GAGGGGCGGCGUGCCUAAUACUCGCAAGUCGAGCGAGCUUGCCUAGAUGAUUUUAGUGCUUGCACUAAAUGAAACUACAUACAAGCGAGCGGCGGACGGGUGAGUAACACGUGGGUAACCUGCCCAAGAGACUGGGAUAACACCUGGAAACAGAUGCUAAUACCGGAUAACAACACUAGACGCAUGUCUAGAGUUUGAAAGAUGGUUCUGCUAUCACUCUUGGAUGGACCUGCGGUGCAUUAGCUAGUUGGUAAGGUAACGGCUUACCAAGGCAAUGAUGCAUAGCCGAGUUGAGAGACUGAUCGGCCACAUUGGGACUGAGACACGGCCCAAACUCCUACGGGAGGCAGCAGUAGGGAAUCUUCCACAAUGGACGAAAGUCUGAUGGAGCAACGCCGCGUGAGUGAAGAAGGGUUUCGGCUCGUAAAGCUCUGUUGGUAGUGAAGAAAGAUAGAGGUAGUAACUGGCCUUUAUUUGACGGUAAUUACUUAGAAAGUCACGGCUAACUACGUGCCAGCAGCCGCGGUAAUACGUAGGUGGCAAGCGUUGUCCGGAUUUAUUGGGCGUAAAGCGAGUGCAGGCGGUUCAAUAAGUCUGAUGUGAAAGCCUUCGGCUCAACCGGAGAAUUGCAUCAGAAACUGUUGAACUUGAGUGCAGAAGAGGAGAGUGGAACUCCAUGUGUAGCGGUGGAAUGCGUAGAUAUAUGGAAGAACACCAGUGGCGAAGGCGGCUCUCUGGUCUGCAACUGACGCUGAGGCUCGAAAGCAUGGGUAGCGAACAGGAUUAGAUACCCUGGUAGUCCACGCCGUAAACGAUGAUCACUANGUGUCGGUGGGUAUGGACCCAUCGG
rnacentral:rRNA from 1 species